UACAGAGGUCCCAAGCGUUGUUCGGAUUCACUGGGCGUAAAGGGUGCGUAGGUGGUGAGGUAAGUCGGAUGUGAAAGCUCGGAGCUCAACUCCGAAAUGGCAUUGGAAACUACCUUGCUCGAGGGUUGGAGGGGGGACUGGAAUGCUUGGUGUAGCAGUGAAAUGCGUAGAGAUCAUGAGGAAGACCAGUGGCGAAGGCGGGUCUCUGGACAGUUCCUGUCACUGAGACACGAAGGCCAGGGGAGCAAACGGG
rnacentral:rRNA from 1 species